UGGGUUAGUGGCGGACGGGUGAGUAACGCGUGGAUAACCUGCCGUAUACAGGGGGAUAACACUUAGAAAUAGGUGCUAAUACCGCAUAAGCGCACGGUUCCGCAUGGAACAGUGUGAAAAACUCCGGUGGUAUACGAUGGAUCCGCGUCUGAUUAGCCAGUUGGCGGGGUAACGGCCCACCAAAGCGACGAUCAGUAGCCGGCCUGAGGGGGUGAACGGCCACAUUGGGACUGAGACACGGCCCAAACUCCUACGGGAGGCAGCAG
rnacentral:rRNA from 1 species